UACGUAGGGGGCUAGCGUUGUCCGGAAUCAUUGGGCGUAAAGCGCGCGUAGGUGGCCUCAUAAGUCCGCUGUGAAAGUCAAAAGGCUCAACCUUUGAAAGCCGGUGGAUACUGUGAGGCUAGAGUACGGAAGAGGCGAGUGGAAUUCUGGUGUAGCGGUGAAUGCGCAGAUAUCAGGAGGAACACCAAUAGCGAAGGCAGCUCGCUGGGACGUUACUGACACUGAGGCGCGAAAGCGUGGGGAGCGAACAGG
rnacentral:rRNA from 1 species